UUACGGGUUGCUCCAGUGGGGAAUAUUGGACAAUGGGGGAAACCCUGAUCCAGCAAUGCCGCGUGUGUGAAGAAGGCCUGCGGGUUGUAAAGCACUUUCGGUUGGGAGGACUGCUUCUAGCACUAAUAUUGUUGGAAGUUGACGUUACCUUCAGAAGAAGCACCGGCUAACUCCGUGCCAGCAGCCGCGGUAAUACGGAGGGUGCAAGCGUUAAUCGGAAUUACUGGGCGUAAAGCGCGCGUAGGCGGCUAGAUCAGUCGGGUGUGAAAGCCCCGGGCUUAACCUGGGAACUGCAUCCGAUACUGUCUAGCUUGAGUACAGGAGAGGAGAGUGGAAUUCCACAUGUAGCGGUGAAAUGCGUAGAUAUGUGGAGGAACACCAAUGGCGAAGGCAGCUCUCUGGCCUGAUACUGACGCUGAGGUGCGAGAGCGUGGGGAGCAAACAGGAUUAGAUACCCCCGUAGUC
rnacentral:rRNA from 1 species